AUUGAACGCUGGCGGAAUGCUUUACACAUGCAAGUCGAACGGCAGCACGGGUGCUUGCACCUGGUGGCGAGUGGCGAACGGGUGAGUAAUGCACCGGAACGUAUCCAAUAAUGGGGGAUAACGCACCGAAAGGUGUGCUAAUACCGCAUACGCCCUGAGGGGGAAAGCGGGGGAUCGUAAGACCUCGCGUUAAUGGAGCGGCCGAUGCCGGAUUAGCUAGUUGGUGAGGUAAAGGCUCACCAAGGCGACGAUCCGUAGCUGGUCUGAGAGGACGACCAGCCACACUGGAACUGAGACACGGUCCAGACUCCUACGGGAGGCAGCAGUGGGGAAUUUUGGACAAUGGGCGCAAGCCUGAUCCAGCCAUUCCGCGUGAGUGAAGAAGGCCUGGUGUAAAGCUCUUUCGCAAGGAAAGAAACUUAAUCUCCUAAUACGAGGUGAGGUUGACGGUACCGUGAUAAGAAGCACCGGCUAACUACGUGCCAGC
rnacentral:rRNA from 1 species